UCUGUCCGUAGCUCUCUUCACUGAGUCUAUUGAUAUUGUGGAAUACUUGCUUCUUAUUCUUUACUCAUACUAAUACUAAUUUCUUGCUUACUGAAGUGAAUCCUACACUCUAAUAUUUACACCUCAAAUAAUAAUGUUCAAAAUACUAAAGAAAACUUCUACUAAGUGCCUCGCUCCUACUUUUUUACUUGGGGUCUGAAUCAAUAAUUCUUAAUCUAAUUUACCUAAACCUCACUUUU
rnacentral:lncRNA from 1 species